ACCAUUUCAGAGAAAAGAGAACCUUAUUAACAUUUAUAAUUCAAAUACUAAUUAUAGAACAUGGAAAAUAGUAAAGAAACAAGGGAAAAUCAGCUUUGGAUGCAGUCUUCAUUUAACAGAACUUCGACUCUAUUACAUGUUCAAACAUCAUUCCUCAGUCAUAAGCUAAGAAGGUACCUGGGAAAGCAAAAAUAAGAGGAAAAGGAAGGGAAUCAGCGACAAAGCAGUGUCAGCAGUAGAAAUAACCAGUGGAAACAGUCUUUAAACCAAACUUUGAACCAGCCAAGGUAACAAAUGAAAUGCAGCAACCCAAAGAACAAACCAAACUUUGAACCGAACUUUAAAAACCAACCAAACUCAGAUUAUUUCAGCUCAAGAAAGAUCAGAAAUCAUCUUUAGAGAUUUAAAACUUAAGAAAUCACAAAAGGAACUCAAUGAAACAGUAGAUUUUUCAAUUUUUUUUAGCCGUUUAUGAUUUUUUUCAGAAUUUUUAUCUCUUCCCCCCACCUUCAGCUCUUGUUAGUAAUGCCUUUAUAGGCAAGCUACUAGGGCAACAAUAAUAGGCUAAGUUUUGCAUUUUGAGCCCUUUGUGAAUUUUCUUUUUUGCUACUUAGUCCCUAAACUAUUGACUUGUUAGCCAAGCAAGUCUGUUUUUCAGCUUCUAAGAAGCUUCCUAAGCAGUUAUUGCAAGAUUCCCUAAGUGAACUACCCCAAUUACUCCUUAGUUACCCUGAAUUUACUCCGGAACCUCAAAUAGGUUAUGGGUCAAGUUGACCCUAUGGUCCAAUUGCACAAUUGGGCCUGCCCUUCUCUUCUAAAUGGGUCAGUGAUCCCAACAUCCAAACUACCACUAGUAUAAUUAAAAUCUGAAGUACAAGAAACAUGCAAACCGGGCAACCAUUAAAAUUUAAACUAAAACUUUAAUAACUAACUAAAUUAGUAGACUCAGUUAAUUAACAAACUAACGAUACUAAACAUGCAAGACUAAUCCUUCAUGAACAAAAACAAGUGCAAAGUUUCUGGAACACUAAAGAAAAAAUGAAAAAGAAAACCAGGAGAAGAACAAAUGCAGAGAAAAAAAAUCUGAAUUAAACCAAAAGAAAGAGAAAAAAGAAAAUACCUACUGAGACUCAAACGAAUGAAGGAAGGAGUCUGAAUCUUCAAUUUCUUCAGAUUUUCUAGCCCACUACGAUAUUAAUCGUGUGUUCUUAAUAAGAACAUACGAAUAACAUCGAAAUGGACCCAAAUCUUCAAACAAAAUCGAACAGGGGACCUUUUUGGGAAUUAGGGUUUGCUCUGAUUUGAAAUUCGAGUAGUUCCAGGGUGAUUCGAAAGAAAAAAGUGACAGAUUUGGGAUGAGGAAGGCUUGAGGGUUCUUUGGUGUUAAUUUGGGGUGGAUUGGUGGUGGCGCCGACACCGGAGAAACUAUGGCGGCGCUAGGGUUCCGAAUUUUAAUUUGAUAUUCGAGGAGCUCAGGCCGGAUUUGAGGGAAUGUGAACGAGAAUUUGGAAAGAGGGGGUGAAGAGAAUAUUUGGUGUUAAUUUCAUGGCGAUUGGAUGUCGGGCGACGCCGUGGGAAAUUUCCGACAAGCGGCAGGCGAUGGCAUUACAUGAGAGACUGAAGGGGUUGU
rnacentral:lncRNA from 1 species